rfam:Xenopus laevis strain J chromosome 3L, whole genome shotgun sequence.
AAUACAUGAUGAUUUCCACUUCUAUGGUCCGUGUUUCUGAAACUCAUGAUAUUUGUGGAAGUUCUGAUUUA